AUUGAACGCUGGCGGCAUGCCUUACACAUGCAAGUCGAACGGCAGCGCGGGAGCAAUCCUGGCGGCGAGUGGCGAACGGGUGAGUAAUAUAUCGGAACGUGCCCAGUAGUGGGGGAUAGCCCGGCGAAAGCCGGAUCAAUACCGCAUACGACCUACGGGUGAAAGGGGGGGAUCGCAAGACCUCUCGCUAUUGGAGCGGCCGAUAUCAGAUUAGGUAGUUGGUGGGGUAAAGGCCUACCAAGCCUGCGAUCUGUAGUUGGUCUGAGAGGACGACCAGCCACACUGGGACUGAGACACGGCCCAGACUCCUACGGGAGGCAGCAGUGGGGAAUUUUGGACAAUGGGCGCAAGCCUGAUCCAGCAAUGCCGCGUGCAGGAAGAAGGCCUUCGGGUUGUAAACUGCUUUUGUCAGGGAAGAAAUCCUCUGGGUUAAUACCUCGGGGGGAUGACGGUACCUGAAGAAUAAGCACCGGCUAACUACGUGCCAGCCGCCGCAGUAUAC
rnacentral:rRNA from 1 species